AUCCACCCGCCUUGGCCUCCCAAAGUGCUGGGAUUACAGGCAUGAGCCACCACACCCAGCCUUGGUGGCCUCAUUUUUAGCAGCCUCUGCAAAGCACACAGCCUGAAUCCGUCACCUAGAGUCCCCAGCAUGCAGGAGAGGCGCUCUCAACCCGGGCUGGAGCCAUGAGCCACUCCCUGAGGGCACACAGGGCCUGAGUCUGGCUCCUGUGUGUUGCUGUGUGACAGGUCCUUCCAAAGUGCCUACGGAAAGCUUUGUCCCAUCCUUGAAAAAUUGCUAAUGGGUUUGGAGAUACGAGGUGGAGAUGACUAGCAAUCAAACUCAAAGGUGGAAGUCACAUCGAGGCAGAUGAGCAGAUGAGGGGACCUAGAGAAGAAGAGAGGUGCAAGGAGAGCCCAGCCAGCAGGAACAUCUGCCCCAGUAGGCAGCACUGCCCCACAUCAGAGUCGAGGAAAGCAAAGCUCGGAUUGGAUAAAAGAAACUUGCAAACACGGUCAGUGCUUACUGCAUGUGGGCUCAGAGCACGUUACCCUCCUUCCCUGCAUGUUCCUGUGAAACGGGUUUACUGCUCUAACUCUCAGGGACACUGUGAAGACCAAACGAGAAAAUAGAAACAAACAUAAUUUAUAAACCAUAAAGUACUGACACCAAAAGAGGGGCGAGCACAGCAUUGUGAAUGUGCUGGUACUAAAUGGUUUGUUUUAAGAUGAUUUUAUGGUGUGUGAAUUUCACUUGAAUAAAUUUUUUUAAUGGAGUUCA
rnacentral:lncRNA from 1 species